UUAGCUAAUGAAUGUUUUUAAGGAGAGGCAUGAUAGUAUGCUUUGUAUGAAGGGUGAAUCGCAGGGAAGGAAACUAUGGAAGUAGAGAGACUAAUAUGAUGCAUGGAGCAGAAAUCCAGGUAAAUAUGAUGGUGGUUUGAACUAAUUUACUGGCAUAGUAGAUAUAGAGAAUAAGGCAAAAGAGAUAUAAAUGAGAAGUACAAUUGAAUAGAGAUGUUUGGAAGAGAAACUGAUAGAUCUAAAUCUGGACUAGCUAUAGAUGGUCUUGAGGAAGAGAGAAAGCAAUCAACUUUUGGAGGUUAAGCCAUUUAUUCAGAUGUUAACCACUGCGGGAAAGGAUCUAAAACAGUUUGAGGGAAAAUCAUCAUCAUACCACUAUGAUAUUUAGAAUGACCCAUUUACAUUAAUAAACUUUAAGCUCCUCAGCAAGGUCAUGCCUUGGAUUAGAAAAAUACCAAAUAAAUCCUUCCAGCAUAUCCCAUUCUUUCAUAUAUCUAGUAGGAAUAGAAAUUAGAUAAAUGUUAGUCACUAUUAUCCAUGCAAAAUGCCAUUCUUUUUUUUUUUUUUCCUUGCCACAAAGAAAGUGGUUUGGUCAUAUUGAAUAGAGUGACUCACCGACGCCACCUCUGAAUGUCUUACUUUUUCUUUGCUGACAAAGCUCACCUCAGCAACAAGUAGCAAAAACACAGAAGCACUACCACAGGAGGGCUCCCAUGAUUGUUUCCCACUCCUAGGGGACACCAAGAGGCAUAAGGAUGCUGUUGGCAGAGAGCCAGACCUGACUCAUCUUUCCUCUGUACUCGACAAGGUACCCAGCUGGCCCUGCCCUAAACCAUAGGAAUCAUGCCAUAUUGUCUACUGAGCCUCUGAAAAAACACGUCACGGUGUCUGUCCCAUGAUUGCACAACGGUUCUCUUCCAAAAGCGAACCUCCAAUAGACAGCCCACCCCACAAUUCUGCAGGCACAGACAGGCCUCCGGCGCGCAAGCCGCCGCGUCGGCCGCCUCUCCCUUCCGCAUUUUCGGAGCCCGCCAAGCAGAGCCGCGCGGCCGGGACCCGCCGAGGACCGGCCCCGCACGGGACCCCGCGGCCUCGGCUCCUCCUGCAGGGGCCUGGACCUGGUCCCGCAGCUUCUCGCCUCCACUUUGCAGGCGGCGCAACACACCGAGGGACGGGCGGACCGACACAGGUGGGUGUGGCGGCCGAGGGAGCGCCGGCGCGACGCCGAGGGCUGCGGGCUCCCGGGCCGCCCCCAGGGGAGCCCGGGGGAAGGCACUUACUUGCACCCCGGCCGGCCGACGGCGCCCACCCAGCGCUCAGCGGUCCCGCCCGCGACGGGCGCGCUCCCCGGGGGCCCGGCCUCGCCCCGCCCGCGUGCCCUCGCCGCUCCUCCGCCCUCGUUCCUUUGGCUCCUGCUGCUCGGCGGGCGCCUCCGCCACCAGCCGCUGGUCCCCGGCCCGGCCCGGCUUCAGCCUCCGGGAGCGCGGACCUGCACGGACAGCGCUCGGCCGCCGAGGGCGCGCAGGCGAGGCCCCGCCGACACCCAGCCCCUCCGGCCCGGGCGCGCCCAGCGCCGCCCCGGCCCCGCCCCCGGCCCCGCCCACCUCCACAGGCCCCGCCCCCGGCCCCGCCCCCCCGCGCGCUCCCCACCCGCGCUGUCCACGCCCGGCGGGAGGCGCGGGGAGCCCCGGGGCGGCCGGGCUGCGGCAUCUCCGCGGGCGCGGGGAGAAGGCUCCGGAGCGGGGCGCGGCCUCGCGCCCACCGCUACCCCGCCGGGGAGAGGGGGGCGCGCCCGUGUGUGUGA
rnacentral:lncRNA from 1 species